AAUAUAAAAUUAAUUUCUUCUGUUUCUUUUUCUUUUGUUUUGUUUUAAAUUUGUUCCCUAGGUCUGUUUUGUGGAAAGGAAAGGAGUGGCUCUACUGAACAUCUGUAAUACCCAGCUGCACAUUGGCAUUUGGCAAUGAAGAAACCAAAGUCACUGCUUGGAAGUAUGUCUAAGUCAAUGCCUAGUAUCUUAUGAACUCAGCCUCCUUACCAGCUGCCCCACAGAUAUUUGGAUCAAGGUUAAAUGUGCACACUGACAGGCCUUCUCCUGUCCUGGAAGAACUCUUAACCAAUACAGCCACAGAUAGGAAUCCCAGCUCCACCAGUUGUUUACAGAAAAAUAAAACCACAGAAUUAUUCCUGUUACCUGGGUUGAAGAUCCUAAUAACUAAAUAAUUUGAAGACCUAAUAACUAAAUAAUUUGGAUAAGGUAGAGUAAUUUCAAAUAAGUAGUACAUGACGUUUUAAUGUCUGGCUUCUCUAUAAAGCAUAAAUAGAUUUUAGAUGCCUUAUAUCUGUGUAUUCCAGCUGACCAAAACAAUAUUAAGAAUGCAUCUUUAUAAAUGGGUGCUAAUUCAUAAUGGAAAUAAUUUAGAAAUGGACUAUAUAGGAUGUUAAUAAUGAGCCAUAUGUUUAUGUCUGGAUUUAGAAAUUUUAAACAAUCAUUUACUAUGUCAUUUUUCCUUACCUUGAAGAACACAAACUGUUGUUUCAGUUCUACAAAUCAGCAAGAUAUUAUUUAUGGCAAGAAAUAUUCCGUUGAAAUGUUGUGCUAUAAGAUGGGAAAAUGUAAAUAUUUUUC
ensembl:lincRNA